rnacentral:rRNA from 1 species
GACGAACGCUGGCGGCGUGCUUAACACAUGCAAGUCGAACGAUGAAGCCGCUUCGGUGGUGGAUUAGUGGCGAACGGGUGAGUAACACGUGGGCAAUCUGCCCUGUACUCUGGGACAAGCCCUGGAAACGGGGUCUAAUACCGGAUGGGACUGCCGACCGCAUGGUCUGGUGGUGGAAAGCUUCGGCGGUACAGGAUGAGCCCGCGGCCUAUCAGCUUGUUGGUGGGGUGAUGGCCUACCAAGGCGACGACGGGUAGCCGGCCUGAGAGGGCGACCGGCCACACUGGGACUGAGACACGGCCCAGACUCCUACGGGAGGCAGCAGUGGGGAAUAUUGCACAAUGGGCGGAAGCCUGAUGCAGCGACGCCGCGUGAGGGAUGACGGCCUUCGGGUUGUAAACCUCUUUCAGCAGGGAAGAAGCGCAAGUGACGGUACCUGCAGAAGAAGCACCGGCUAACUACGUGCCAGCCGCCGC